rnacentral:misc_RNA from 1 species
UUUCCGUAGGUGAACCUGCGGAAGGAUCAUUAUCGUACAAAAGGUGAGGGGCAUGCGACGGUUGUCGCUGAACCAAAGGUCGUGCACGCCCGUGUGUGUCCUCUUGCAUAAUAAUCCAUCUCACCCUUUGUGCAUCACCGCGUGGGCACCCUUCGGGAUCAUCUCGGAGGGGGGCUCGCGUUUUCACACAAACCCCCCUUUUAAAAGUGUAGAAGGACCACGUUUAUGCAAUCAAUACAACUUUCAACAACGGAUCUCUUGGCUCUC